GCUCAGGAUGAACGCUAGCGGCAGGCUUAACACGAUGGCAAGUCGAGGGGCAGCGCGGGUAGCAAGUAGUCCUGGCGGCGACCGGCGGAAGGGUGCGUAACGCGUGAGCAACUUGCCCGUCACUGGGGGAUAGGCACUGGAAACGGUGUGUAAUACCCCAUAAUAUAUGGAUUCACAUGGAUUCACAUUGAAAGAUUCGUUGGUGACGGAUGGGCUCGCGUAACAUUAGCUAGUCGGCGGGGUAACGGCCCACCGAGGCUACGAUGUUUAGGGGUUCUGAGAGGAAGGUCCCCACACUGGAACUGAGACACGGUCCAGACUCCUACGGGAGGCAGCAGUGAGGAAUAUUGGUCAAUGGGCGGAAGCCUGAACCAGCCAUGCCGCGUGCAGGAAUAAGGCCCUAUGGGUCGUAAACUGCUUUUCCUUGAGGGCAAUAAGGGUCACGUGUGGCCCGAUGAGAGUAUCAGGGGAAUAAGCAUCGGCUAACUCCGUGCC
rnacentral:rRNA from 1 species